AUCUUAAUAGUUUAUAUAAAAUUUUGGGUUGUGGUGCCAAAGAAAUAAUUUAUUAUUUAAGAUA
rnacentral:tRNA from 1 species